rnacentral:lncRNA from 1 species
UUUGUUACAAAUCAGGUACGUCCCUGAGCAACAAUAACUGCACUCUUCCUAGUGUGGCUCCAUAUCUCCGCCUUUUCAAAUGCAUCAUCUCAAUAACAUGUGCUGCUUCCUGAAAUUUGGCAAGUUUGAAAUACACGCUGCUGUCUAUCUAUAAAUCAUGUCUGGCAGGCAACUGAAACGACAGAGCUGAAUAGUACUACAGAAUAAGAGUUCAUGUAGAAGAACUGGUUUUUUCUUCUUAGUUGAAGAAAAUGCAUGAUCCUUCUCUCAACACCGAGACCUUAACUUUUGCCAUGGUCGUCGCAGGUUGCAUAUAGUGAGAAAAUUGGAAUUGAGUGGACCAAAGUGGCGGAGGAGACAAGCAGAUAUGCGAGGGAGAGCACGUAGAGGACUUGUGUAUAUUUUCGGAUUCUUCUUCAACCUUUUUGGUAUGAGCUUGUGAAGUAGCUAAGAGGAGUAAUGGUGCAUAAUAAACAUCAUACAGAAAGUUAGUCUUAAUUUUAUUUCUUCAUCGCUUAGACUGUUUUUCUGGUUUGUAAGAGGUUGUUUGUACAUCCUCACAACUUCGACUGUAAUGCUGUAACCAUUUUACUCCUAUUAUACAAAACAAUAUCUCAUACUUUCUCCAAUGUCAUUUGGUGAGCUAUUUCCAAUUUCUAUGGUGGAAAAAAUUGGAUGUUGAUUUUUCUCCUAUUUUUUAAUAACAAUAGUUAAGGAGUGUGACAUCGUUUCUAUCAUUACCUUACAUAAGUCAAAACGACGACGUGCAACCCCCUUAUUGUAAUUGUUUAAAAUGAUUGCAAUUUUCACUUAGCCAUCUCAAGUGGAAACUCAUUUAUCAUGUUGAAGAUUCUCCAGUAGAGUCUAAUUGCAUAAUUGAUGACCUCAUGAAAGAAUCUAAAAUUCGUGAUUUAAAAAAAAGAGUUAAUUGCAUCAAAAUAACUGACUUUUUCCUAAAAUCUUGUUUUUUGACAAUCGUUAUAAUUGUAGCAAAAAUUUCAACGAGCUUUCAAUUUAUUGCAAUGUCCGUCCGGAGAAAAUUUCCGGCCAAAUUAAAUCUGAGUUGGCAUUUCUAAUGCCAACGUGGCGUCAGAAAUGCCAAAUCACACCCCCUCCCCCUCCCACAUCGCCCCCACGUCGCCCUCUCUCUCUCUUCCCCAUCCCCCUUCCAAGUUCCCCAUCUCCCUGUCGGCUCUCACCCUCUCUCUCACUUCCUCCAGAUCUGCCACAACCGCCACACUAUCGGCUCUCACCUCCGUCGGACGCUUCUCCUUCCCCCAUCUCCCACCGAGAGAGAAAGGAAUCGAGCGGCGGCGGCGAGUUCGCCUCAGCCAAGAGAUCCCCUCUCUCUCACUUCCUCCACCGCCCUCACUGCGUACACUCCGCCGCCGGAAAACCUCGCGCGGUGGAGGUCCCAGAAAAGGUCGGUCCUCGCUCGUCGGCAAUGGGGGAUAGGGGAAGGGGAAGCGAGCAGACGGAGGUCCUAAAAAGGGGAUCUAGGGUUUCAUAGGAGGAAUGGGGAUGAAGUCUGCAGUGGUUUUGGGUGUUUGUCGUUGAGUUAGAGAGAUAGAGAGAGAGGCCGAGAGAGAGAAGCGAUGGAGGAUGGCUUNGUACUUGAAGUUUCAUAUGACUGUGUGCUUUACGAUUCCCAGCAUUUCGGAUCUUCCUGUCUAAUACUAGGUUUUAGUUGGAAGUCAUGUAUUUUCAUGGUUUUCUUUUACAAAUAUGGUGGUGCAUCAAGUGUCAUUUUAGUAUGUGUCUAUUGCCAUUUAUUUUAACGGAAUAAAUUUAAUUAUCUUACAGAUUUGAAUGAGAAAGAAGUUGGAAUCCUCUUUUUGACUCUGACAUUCCACUGUAGUUGUUUAUCCAUUUGUCCAACUAAAGAAUCUUUAAGAGAAACUUCUGCUACUAGCCAAUGCAAUCAUGUGUAUUACAUGUUCCUUUUUUAGGUUAAGUUAUUUUGAGUUGUGCUACUACACAUGAAAUUUCUAACUUGGAAUAACACACUGCCUUUAUUUCAGAGCUCCUUUUUUUAAAUACUAAAAAAUUUAUGGAGACCAUUUGAGGUUUAGAAUAUGUUUGUACUUAUCAUAUGGACUUUGAUUGCAGGAGAACUGUAGUUGCUUUCUGUUAUGACGCUUCACUUUAGCUGUUAGCUUAGAGAUCCACUACUUGUUUAAACUGUGGUCAUUGCAGACUUGCAGUUUUCCCUAUUUGCCUUCCUGUUAAUCAGAUAACGAACUUUCAUUGGAUAGUUAAAGUGACUUUGAAGGAUGAGAUGAUACUUCGUGAUUAUGGUAAAUCCUAACUUUGGUGCUUCAUUAGAGUGUUUGUACGUAAGCACUAUAUCCUUGUGGUUAUGGGCAUUCCAGGUUUAUGCUCUAUCAAGAGAUAAAGAUCUGUAGAAUGUUUUGCUGGAGAACUUCCAUGUCUACAGAUGUACAUUGACUUCUUGUGCAUUUUAGGUCUGAGUUUCCCUGAUUCUCUAGAGUUAAGAACUACAAGGAACAGAAUUCUAGAGUGCAGUGUUCCCACAACAUGAUAGUUUAAUACUCAGUUUGAUCUUGACUAAUUCAUCGUGAUAAGUAAUUGCUUUUAUGUGGAAUAUGGGAAAGCAAAAUACUUCACCUGAAUAUUAUUCUAUUACUUGAUAUAUCUAAUAUCUUCUUGUCAUGAAUGAUCACAAAUACAUCUGCAGCAACUCAUGUUUUUUCUGGUGCUGGAUUGCAAUUGAGAUAAAAAUUACAGAACAAUUACAUGUUGGCUAGAGAUUAUUGUCAGUGAGUUCUUUCUGUUUUGGGCUUGAUAGUUGCCAUAGGUAUUCAAGACUUUACUUCCUAAAGGUCAAGAUAUCGAUCUGGUUUUGGUAUAACAUUAUUAUUCUUCAGAAUGAAUGGUUUCAGCAUGGUUUCCAUUAUAAAAAUCCUUCUUAUAUCCUUGCAGCUCAUUUGCCAAGAACCCAUUAAGCAAACUAUGAAGCUAUCUUUUCAUUUCUUGCCAUCUUUCUCUUGUAGUUUUUCUUAAUUUUUGGUUUCAAUGUGCGCUUCUCCUGCCUCUCCACCAAAAGGUGGGGUUGAGAUGCCCAUCAUGUUUAGAAGGUGGAAAAAGGUAGCGCCGUUUGUCUUCUUCCAUGGAAUUGAUCCAGAACAUUGAUGUAAAAAGUGCUAUGAUCACAGGAAAAUAAUAGGACCGAAAUCCAAAGGCUUGACGAAGAAAGAAAGGCCGACUUUGUUAACAUGCUGAAAGGAUUUGUUACAAAUCAGGUACGUCCCUGAGCAACAAUAACUGCACUCUUCCUAGUGUGGCUCCAUAUCUCCGCCUUUUCAAAUGCAUCAUCUCAAUAACAUGUGCUGCUUCCUGAAAUUUGGCAAGUUUGAAAUACACGCUGCUGUCUAUCUAUAAAUCAUGUCUGGCAGGCAACUGAAACGACAGAGCUGAAUAGUACUACAGAAUAAGAGUUCAUGUAGAAGAACUGGUUUUUUCUUCUUAGUUGAAGAAAAUGCAUGAUCCUUCUCUCAACACCGAGACCUUAACUUUUGCCAUGGUCGUCGCAGGUUGCAUAUAGUGAGAAAAUUGGAAUUGAGUGGACCAAAGUGGCGGAGGAGACAAGCAGAUACGCGAGGGAGAGCACGUAGAGGACUUGUAUAUAUUUUCGGAUUCUUCUUCAACCUUUUUGGUAUGAGCUUGUGAAGUAGCUAAGAGGAGUAAUGGUGCGUAAUAAACAUCAUACAGAAAGUCUUAAUUUUAUUUCUUCAUCGCUUAGACUGUUUUUC